AACGAACGUUGGCGGCAUGCCUAACACAUGCAAGUCGAACGAGACCUUCGGGUCUAGUGGCGCACGGGUGCGUAACGCGUGGGAACCUGCCUUUAGGUUCGGAAUAACUCAGAGAAAUUUGAGCUAAUACCGGAUGAUGUCUUCGGACCAAAGAUUUAUCGCCUUUAGAUGGGCCCGCGUUGGAUUAGCUAGUUGGUGGGGUAAAGGCCUACCAAGGCGACGAUCCAUAGCUGGUCUGAGAGGAUGAUCAGCCACACUGGGACUGAGACACGGCCCAGACUCCUACGGGAGGCAGCAGUGGGGAAUAUUGGACAAUGGGCGAAAGCCUGAUCCAGCAAUGCCGCGUGAGUGAUGAAGGCCUUAGGGUUGUAAAGCUCUUUUACCCGAGAUGAUAAUGACAGUAUCGGGAGAAUAAGCUCCGGCUAACUCCGUG
rnacentral:rRNA from 1 species